UAUGCCAGACAACAACCCCACUUCUGGUUUCUGAAGAAGAAAUACCUGAAAGGAACACUGUGAAGGAGGAAGGCUUUAUUCUAGCUCACUCUUUCAGAGAUGUUAAUUCGUUUUUGGCCAGCUUCGUUGUGCCUAAGCUAUGGGUGAUGGGAGAGCAAGCUGGAAUGACUGCUGGAGACCCACCAAGAUCUUCACUGCCUGGGCUCAGGGACUCAGUCUGGUGUCUGCAUAAUGGCUUCCCCAGUUCUAGAACAGACCUCUGAAAAUGGUAGCUAUCCCACGAAGAUCUGCUGACAGAGUGAUUGAGCCGUGAAAAGCUCCUGACAUCUUGUUCUGAAAACUUCUCCCGUUCUUGCUGUGCCUUGGACAUGCGUUUGUUGCUGGAGAUCUUUGGCUAUUCCCUUGAUGGAGUUCUGUAGUGAAGACUAUGACCAUCAUUUGUGAACCCCAGCUGUGAGUCCAGGGACUGUCUAGAGGCACCAUGCCCAGGUUCCCAGGUAGACACUGUUUUCCUGCAGUAUGGCUGUGCAUGUGGGCUAGAGGUCACACCUUUGUACCGCUCUGAGGAUAAACACCUGAGCUCGCCGAGUUCUGCUUGUGGAUGGAUGCUGGAUGUUCCUUAGACAACUGCUUAUUAAACGAAGCUUGGGAAAGGUGAU
rnacentral:lncRNA from 1 species